AUAAGAAUCAGCUCAACCCCCAUCUUACAGUGGAAAGGAGAGCAAAGGGGGAGGAGAAGCACGCCAGAGGUGCGAGUUAGUGCAGGAAGAGUUCGAUGAAAGAAUCGGCAAGCAAACUUGCUGCCGAGAAGUGAACUCGGCUGAAAUUCGAGCCGAAUGGGAAAGACUCAGGUUUCAAAACAAAGCCAACAGCCCGGCCAUGCUGCAAAGCAGCUUCAAAAAACACCAAAAAUAACCGGCGUGGACACACACUCGCUGCUUUCUGUCUUUGAGGAAGAAAAUCAGAAUAACACAGAACAAACGAAUGACCUCUUUGUUCUCUCUGCUCUUGUUUUUUUUAAAGCAGAACACUUCCCUCAACAGUUCGUCUGCAGCCCUCCUCUCGAGGCAGCGGUGGCGGCCCCGCGCUGCCCACUGGCCCGCAGGCUGGGCCGGGGAUAAAGACUGAGGCAGUGCAGAGGCACCCUGCACACCACCAACAAUCUCACGGCGUGAUCCCUUGUAACUUUGAGAUUUCCACCAUCCAAAAUGUGUUUCGCAAAGAAAAAUCCAGACCUCCGACAUUCAAAAAUGAAGAAAUUGCAGAAAAACAUCACACUGUCCCAAAGUGCUUUGCUGGUGAAACUAGAAAUGGAAACAAAGUAAUGUUGGAGCACGUUUUUUUUUUUUUACCUAGUGUGGGCAAAUACUUAAAGGAAUGUCAAACUAAAGGCUGCUGGAAAGGUAUAUCAGAUUGACCAGCACAUGAAUGGGAAAGCUGGAUUAACAUUUCUCAUCCUCAUCCAGACUCCUCAGAACUUGAGUUCCACUUGUUAUAUUGUUAGAUUUCAAUGGCCGGUUAACCUGCUGUUUACUUGUCUUUCAUUUCGGAUUUUUAAUGUUUCUAUAUUUUUUAUCUGAGAAAAGGAGGGUAAGUAUAAAAUGAUUAUUUCUGUUCAGUGGUUAUCAGUUCAUCCUAAGUGACAGAAAUCAAGUCUGGCAGUUGUUUUAGCUGAGCUGUGUAAAAGAAACAAAUGCUGCCUACUUUGUGUGAAGAGAAAACAACUCUGUACCUCCUUUUUUGUCAGUUGUAAGGUGAAUCUAGCGGUUUCCAGGUGGAUAUGCUUUCUUAUGUACACUAAGUAUGACAAGUUAGUUUGAUUUUAGGUUUGAUUCUUGACCUGUAUGCAGUUACCUGAGAUUUGCCACAUUGAUAACAUUAUGGGCAUAGGUCUCAUAGUUCUAGGCCAAAGAAUAAAAAACUGCUGGAAACUGCUCUUGAUUGUCAUUAAACCAACUCAGCAUGCAGGUCAAAUAUUUUGAUGACAGUGAGAUUUUACCUGGCAAUCUGAGGUUCACACUUGGAGACAUAAGAGACACUGCCAUUGCUGGAAUUCUGGAACAUUGGACCUUUCUGUGCUUGACAAAAUCAAUUGUCCAUUUCCCUACAUAGAUGCUGCCUCGCCUGUUGAAUUCCUCUAGUAUCUUGCGUGUGAGGCGCACAUUUGGACGAGGUUUUGAGCAGCACAAAUGGGAUAUUUCGGCCAUAAUGGAACGGUGGAGAAGACUCAAUGGGCUGAAUGACCUAAAUCUGCUCCUAUGUCUUAUGGUCUUAUGACAUGGCAAAACUGUCAAAGAAAGGAAAUGUGAAGAGAGCAGAAUCAGAAGGAGAAUAAUGUUGGACAGAAUAAGGAAGUGAAGAUAAUGAAAUAACUAAAACUGAAAUUCCUGCUGCACUAUAACAAGCACAAGUACAUACAAGUUCAAGAGACAAAAAGACAGGAACUAUUAUUCCCAGAUUUCAAAAUAAUAUGUACUCUUUGACUUAGAGAUGCAAAAACAAAUUGCUAUAUUAGGCAGAAAGAAAAUUACUGAACUCCCUGCUGCCACCCAGUUUAUAAUAUAUGAGGCACCAGUAGUGUUACUCUGUUUACUUUUUAACUUGUGUUGCAAAUGCCUUAUUAUUUGUUGAUUUACUAGUGAUAAUAUUAUUCAAUUUGAUAUGUGUGUGAAUUAUAUAUACUGCAUUGUGAGCCUUGAUCAGGAGGAAAACUAUUUCGUUUGAACAUACAUAAGUGUAUGGUUGCAUGAUGAUGAACUUGAAAAUGUCGGUAAUGUUGAAAAUAACAAUGACAUUAAUUUGCAAAUUCAAAUUAAAAUAAAUCAAAGUAAUAUUCAAAUUUAAAAAAAAUAUGAUCUACAUCAGUGGCAUAAUGGUUAUUGUGAUGGCACAAUGGUUAAUUUACCUUCUUGUAAUCCAGAGACUGGUCUGACUGUCCACAGUUCAUAUCCUACCACAGGAGCUGUCAAAUUUAAAUUUAGUGAAGAACAGCAGCUUCUAACAGACUGUGUUAGGGAGAUGGAGCUGGAACCGGAUGAAUUCAGGAUCACUUAGGAGGCUGAGCGGUUGGUAGACAGAAUAUACAGGGAGGUAGUUACACCCAAGUUGCAGAACACAGGUAACUGGCUGGCCAUCAGGAGGGAGAAAGAGGAUAGGCAGCCAGUGCCAUUUAGUUUUGAAUACUGCUGGGUGGGGUUGUAUGAUCUAACAGAGGAAUGUCACAGCAGUUGGGUCUCUGGCACUAAGUCCAGCUCUGGGGCUCGAAAGGCAAGGGGAGAAGAAGAGAGUUGUAGUGAUAGGGGAUUCAUUGGUUAGGGAAACAGAAGGAAGUUUCUGUGGAUGAGAAAAGAUUCCCGGAUGGUAUGUUGCCUUCAGGGUUCUAGGGUUGUGGACAACUUGGAUCGAGUCAAUGGCAUUCUUAAGUGGAGGGUGAACGGUUAGAAGUCAUUGUCUAUGUCAGUACCAAUUACAUGGAUAAUAGGGGUCCUGCAAAGUGAGUUCAGGGAGUGAGGUUCUAAGUUAAAGGACAGGACCUCCAGGGUUGAGAACUCAGGAUUGCUAUGUGUACCAUUAGCUAGGAAGAUCUUACAGUUUAACAUGUGGCUAAGGGGAUGGUGCAGGAGAGAGGGCUGCAGUAUUUUGAUGAUUGGACUCACUUCCAGGCAAGGUGGGAUAUGUAGAGAAGAGACAGUUUGCACCUGAACUGGAAAGGAAGAAAUAUCCUAGUGGGAAGAUUUGUUACUGCUGCAUAGAGGGGGAUGGGAACCAGAAUGCCAGAACAGAUUGUGGAAUAGUUGUGGAGAAAGACAUUAUUAAGCGUACAUACAAUGUUGGAAAUCAGUAGGUUCAGCUUGGUGAGACUAAUGAUCAGAGCUGUGUAUUUCAAUGCAAGGAGUAUUGUAGGAAAGAUGAUGAGCUUAGGCCAUGGGUCAGCAAGUGGAAUUAUGACAUUGUAGCCAAUAGUGAGAUUUGAUUGCAGGAAGGGCAGGACGGACACCUCAAUGUUCAAGGAUUCUGUUGUUUUAGAUGAGAUAGAGCAGUAGAGACUAGAGGGGAAACAGUGGCAUUACUAGUCAGGGAAAAUGUCAUGGCAGAGCUCAGACAAGGCAGACUGGGGAGCUUGUCUAGUGAGCCUUUAUGGGUAGAACUUGUUGUGUUCAAUAUUGAGGGAUAGUGCAGAGGAAUAAUAAAGGUAUGACCACAUUAAUAGGAUUAUAUAAUAGACCACCCAACAUUUUGUGGGAUUUAGAGAAGCAAAUUUGUAGAGAGAUUGCAGACAGUAGCAAGAAACACAAGUUUGUGAUGGUAGGUGAUUGUAAUUUUUCACUUAUUGACUGGGACUCCCAUACUAUAAAAGGGCUGGAUGGGAAAGAGUUUGUCAAAUGUGUUUAGGAAAGUUUCCUUCAUCAGUACAUUGAAGUCCCAACUUAUAGAUGGUGUGAUACUAAAUCUCUUAUUAGGCAGUGAGACAGGGCAGGUGAAAAAAGUUUGAAUAGAGGAACACUUUUCAUCUAGUGAUCAUAAUGGUUUUAGUUUCCAAGUAAUUAUGGAAAAGGAUAGGUCUGGUCCUUGGGCUGAGAUUCUAAAUUGGAGAAAGAAAAGAUGUGGCAAGUGUGGAUUGGGACAGGUUGUUCUCUGUACUUGAUAAGUGGGAGGCCUUCAAAAGUGAAUGUUUGAGACAUACAAAGAUUGUCUGUUCCUGUCAGAAUAAAAGGGCAUAGAUAAGAGAUUUUGGGAACCUUGGUUUUCAAGAGAUACUGAGGCCUUGGUUAAGAAAAUGAAGGAGGUGCAUUGCAGGUAUAGACAGGUAGGGAUAAAUGGGGUGCUUAUAGAGUAUAAGAAA